rnacentral:rRNA from 1 species
CCGGCGACCGGCGGACGGGUGCGUAACGCGUAUGUAACCUACCUUUGACAGGGGGAUAACAUCGAGAAAUUGGUACUAAUACCCCAUAACAUCACCAGAGGCAUCUUCGGUGGUUGAAAACUCAGGUGGUCAGAGAUGGACAUGCGUUGUAUUAGCUAGUUGGUGAGGUAACGGCUCACCAAGGCGACGAUACAUAGGGGGACUGAGAGGUCAACCCCCCACAUUGGUACUGAGACACGGACCAAACUCCUACGGGAGGCAGCAG